rnacentral:rRNA from 1 species
AUUGAACGCUGGCGGCAGGCCUAACACAUGCAAGUCGAGCGAGCGGCGGACGGGUGUGUAAUGUAUGGGGACUGCCCGCUAGAGGGGGAUAACUACUGGAAACGGUGGCUAAUACCGCAUUCUAUCGGAUAACCCAGAUGGGUUUAGCUAGUAGGUGGGGUAAAGGGUCACCUAGGCGACGAUCGGUAGCUGGUAUGAGAGGAUGGUCAGCCACACUGGGACUGAGACACGGCCCAGACUCCGACGGAGGCAGCAGGGGGGAAUAUUGCACAAUGGGCGCUAGGCUGAUGCAGCCAUGCCGCGUGUAUGAAGAAGGCCUUAGGGUUGUAAAGUGCUUUCAGCGGGGAGGCGUUACCCGCAGAAAAAGCGCCGGCUAACUACGUGCCAGCAGCCGCGGUAAUUC